rnacentral:rRNA from 1 species
UACGGAGGGAGCUAGCGUUAUUCGGAAUUACUGGGCGUAAAGCGCACGUAGGCGGCUUUGUAAGUUAGAGGUGAAAGCCUGGAGCUCAACUCCAGAAUUGCCUUUAAGACUGCAUCGCUUGAAUCCAGGAGAGGUGAGUGGAAUUCCGAGUGUAGAGGUGAAAUUCGUAGAUAUUCGGAAGAACACCAGUGGCGAAGGCUGCUCACUGGACUGGUAUUGACGCUGAGGUGCGAAAGCGUGGGGAGCAAACAGG